CAAAACCUUUGCGAAUUCUACUUCCGAGUUUUACCGAUGAGUUUUCGUCAGUGAGCUGUCUGGUUCAGCGCGAAGUUUUCCGCAUUUCGAAAAACUUGGAUUUAUACGUUACGGAGCUAUAAACGGAGAGGAUUGUGAGUUUUAACAAGAAAUAUAAGAAACUUAAAAAAACUUGAAAAUUAGGGUCAUUGUAGUUAGAGUGAUAUAGUGCAGGUAUUUACUCCGUUGAGUUUUGACAGUUACCUAAUCGUCUUGGGAAAUAACUAUCCCUUAGAAAAAUGAGAAGGACUAGAUUAUUCAUCUAUUGAUACUCCUCGGGGUCUUGAUUGAUUGAUUAAUGGUUAUUCAGAAUCUCAGAGCUUAAUUUAGAUUAUCCAGGAAGAAAACAUAAAAUGGAAUAUAUUAGUAAGACCGCAUUAAUUGGAAGCAACAAGGCAAAGUUUAUACAGCACAAUUUAUAAAUAAUUCUAGUGU